rnacentral:tRNA from 1 species
GAGGGUUAUUUUAUUGUCGCUGCUAACGAUGGUAGGGAUACUUGAUUAUCCGACCUUCU